UUGAAGGUGAACCGGGAGGUUUGCUGGAGGUAUCAGAAGUGCGAAUGCUGACAUGAGUAACGAUAAGGGGGGUGAAAAACCUCCCCGCCGGAAGAUCAAGGUUUCCUGCGCAACGCUAAUCGGCGCAGGGUGAGUCGGCCCCUAAGGCGAGGCAGAAAUGCGUAGUCGAUGGGAAGCAGGUUAAUAUUCCUGCACUUCUUAUUAUUGCGAUGGAGGGAC
rnacentral:ncRNA from 1 species